CUCCACAGAGUCAAGAUGCUAAAGACAGGCCCAAAAUCACACAGCCUGUUCUUCCACUGGCCCCAAAACCAGCAUCAGGACCAGUUCCUAUUUCAAGCAACGGCCCUCGAGUCAAGACCUCCCCCAUCCACGCUCAGAAUGUGACGUCCUCAGACAGAUCUGUGGCUCAAUCUUCACCUAAUCCUAAACUGGAUGAUCCAAUUGCCAAGUGUCGCCGUUUAGAUGCUUCAAAGGAAAAUCCUACAGAGAAAACCACAAAGAAGAUACUGUUACGGCGUCUUGCCCGGCCUACACCUCCUUCGCCUUCAGGUGAGAAGAAAAUC